UACGUAGGUGGCAAGCGUUGUCCGGAAUUAUUGGGCGUAAAGCGCGCGCAGGCGGUCCUUUAAGUCUGAUGUGAAAGCCCACGGCUCAACCGUAGAGGGUCAUUGGAAACUGGGGGACUUGAGUACAGAAGAGAAGAGUGGAAUUCCACGUGUAGCGGUGAAAUGCGUAGAGAUGUGGAGGAACACCAGUGGCGAAGGCGACUCUUUGGUCUGUAACUGACGCUGAGGCGCGAAAGCGUGGGGAGCAAACAGG
rnacentral:rRNA from 1 species